UAAAAAUUAUUAAAAAUACCCGACAAUAGAAUUCCAGUGUGCAACCAACUUCAAAAUUCAUUACCAGAUGUCGCUAGUGUUACCAUUGUUGUUUUUGCAUCGUGAAACGAGGCAAAAUAGGCGAAACAAUUGGAUGCUAAUUAAUACUUAUAUUCCUGUGAUUUCAAUUACCAAAUUGAACUUCGUAACUUAUGAAGAUGCAUACUGUCAGUCAUUCCAAAAAGUUGACUUAGCGCUCAGUCACUUUCCAUCCAAAUGAUCCAAUAGACCCAUCAUGUUGUCAAAUCCUAAAACUAAUGUGUGAAGCUCACAUAUCGUGGAAUACAAAUGUGUGGAGACAAGGUAUUUCCCCAUUACUGCUACCACACCAACCACACCAAACCAACCGCCUUACUAAUAAAUUCAGCACCAGUCACCCAUAUGAUAAAGGAAAUUUACCUCAACCUUAGGAGUAAGGCUGUUGGUUGCUGUGAUUUCCAUUUUUACGAUUUGUUAUCAUGAAAACUUCAGUGUGCUUGUUAGUAAAGAGCACAUAAUAGAUCCUUGAGCCAAUGCUGACCUUUGUCUAUGAAGGAAGAGGGACAUCUAGCAACGUUCUGCUCCAUCCGUAUCUUCCCGACGUACACUCAUUUAGCUUCACUGCUUUUGCUGCUACAACUUGUUUUACUUCACCGACGAGUUGGAACACUUCAGUGGUCGCUACCCUUUGCUGUUACACACCUGCAGUUACUCACCACGGGAUUAUGCCCAGGUAAUGCAGAGGAAAUUUCGAGAAGAUUGACACCAUAACGUCGCCGGUAUCUCCAAAGUGUCAGCGCGGAUCAUCAUUUGUUGUUGGUAAUAUGUGUUCGUUUGUGUUAGUUAACCCGUUGUCU